rnacentral:rRNA from 1 species
UACGUAGGGGGCAAGCGUUAUCCGGAUUUACUGGGUGUAAAGAGAGCGUAGACGGACUUGCAAGUCUGAUGUGAAAAUCCGGGGCCCAACCCCGGAACUGCAUUGGAAACUGUAUAUCUAGAGUGUCGGAGAGGCAAGUGGAAUUCCUGGUGUAGCGGUGAAAUGCGUAGAUAUCAGGAGGAACACCAGUGGCGAAGGCGGCUUGCUGGACGAUGACUGACGUUGAGGCUCGAAAGCGUGGGGAGCAAACAGG